rnacentral:pre_miRNA from 1 species
GAAGUACUCCCUCUGUCCUAAAAUUCUUGUCUUACAUUUGGAUAUGAAUGUAUCUAGUCAUAUUUUAGUAUUUGGAUACAUUUAUUUUUAGACAAACCUAAAACUAUUUCUUUAGGAUGAAGGAAGUAGAAG